GGAUGUGGGGGCCAUCCGGCUGUGACAUCAGUCACCUCAUUGAUUCAGCUGAUUUGGUUGGUUACAUAGUGUCCCCUUCCUCUCUCCACAUUCACAGGCAUCCCCUACCCUAGCAGCUGUGAGAUCAGUCAAAGAAAACCUUCACCAAUAGAGGAGGUCUGUUCUUUCAUCAAGGGCAUAUGAGUGUGUGCAUUCCCUUAUUAGAGCAUUAGGUGAAUUCCUCUGCAAGAACCAAAGAAGCUCUCAAAAAGUAACGGGGUGACUCAGUAAGUUG
rnacentral:snRNA from 1 species